GGGCGAUUAGCUCAGGUGGUAGAGCACUUGACUUUUAAUCAAGUUGUCGCGGGUUCGAGUCCCGCAUCGCUCA
rnacentral:tRNA from 3 species